rnacentral:lncRNA from 1 species
ACUUAAGAAAACCGGGAAUUCCCUGGCCGUCCAGGGGUUAGGACUCCGUGCCUUCUCUGCUGAGGUGUGGAUUCAACGCCUGUCGGGGAACUGAGACCCCACAAGCUGCCUGGCUCAGACGAAACAAAACAUGGGAAAGAAGGGGAAGGCCGUGGCACAGAGCCAAUACUGAGAACGGAAAUCCAGGGAAACUUUCCACGCACGGAAACAGACCUGGAACCUAGGUAUCCACCACAAAAACAGACCUGGGACCUAGGCAUCCAGGCACGGAAACAGACCUGGAACCUAGGCAUCCAGGCACGGAAACAGACCUGAAACCUAGGUAUCCAGGCACGGAAACAGACCUGGAAUCUAUGCAUCUCAAAGCUGGUGGGAUGUGCCUAGAAAGAUAAACUCGGACCAGUCAGCUUUGAAACAUUUCCAGCAAAACUGCUACACUUCAAAGCCAGAGACAAAAUCCUCAAGGCCUCCAGGCAGAGAGCAGAGUCGGAUGUGACCAGUGUCACGUAAAACCAACACAGAAACAAAGAAACAGUGGAAAACAGUUUUUGAAAAGUUAAAACGGCACACACACAAAACCUCAAUGAAGGAAACUGUGAACCAAGGACUUUGGAACUAGCCAAGCCGAGAACAUCUUGUCGUUCCAGGAAGCAAGGGAGAAAUGAGAGGAAAAUAAAAUGUAACUUUAAAAAAAAGAAGAAAGAAAAAGAUGGGGCUGUUGGGAGCCCAGCAGCAGCCUGAGGCUGCCCAUGAAGCCAGGGCUGGACUGUCUGGAUCCUAACCCACAGAGCAAAGCCAUCCCUGUGUGCCCACAGAUAGGGACAGACAAAUGGCGGGCUACAGGUAAACAGACGAGGUGAGGACAAGGCUUCCCCCGAGGAGAAUCCCACCAGCGAGGAGAAAGGGAAGCAGGGCCUGCGGGCCCGGCAGCAAACAGCGCGGCCGCAGCUCAGAUGCAGGACGUCAGGUGCUGCGCUGGUGAGUCAGGACCCAGGGCCCAGGCUUUGCACAUCUCAGAGCAUCUCCCCAACAUGUGUACC